rnacentral:misc_RNA from 1 species
CCGAGUUAGGGUGUCCUCGUUCGCGAGCGCCCGACCUCCCAACCCUUUGCUUACUUGACCUUUUGUUGCUUCGGCAGGCCCGCCUCCGGGCCGCCGGGCGUCGGUGACACGCGCCUGGCCAGUCUGCCUGCCGACGGCCCCAAUUAUUAAACCCAUGUUUAAAACGUGUCGUCUGAGUUAACUUUUUGUUAUACACAAAAUAAGUAA